GUUGUGCCGUGUCGUUAGACAUGGUACGGACGCAGGCGCGCACAGUUUCCCGGAGGCUCGGAGUAGCCACAAAGGACUUUCGCGCCAGUUCCGGCUGGACGACACGCUUCAUGUGGCGGAAUGGACUAAGACUGGCAUUUCCAAUGCGCUCGACGGGACAGGAGAUGACCGUCUGUGGGACAGUGAAGACACUGCCGGUUCCGACAGGGAAUCGUGCGGCGACGACACUGACGCCAGUGACGCUUCGGACUCGGAAUGAACGUUAGGGGGUCAGAGAGUUACAAAAUAAAAGGGCAGUGUGCCAUGCAUGUAGCUCCUGCGUAAUGCGUGCAUUUUAUUACAAAGGUAAGCCUUACUCUACUUUUAUUUUUGGUUAUGUUCAUGAUAGCUAUCGUAAGAAUUCUGAUUAGCGACUUCUUUGCGUUUUCGGUGCUCAGAAUAUUUUUUCACAGAAAAUUUACACCGCGUAAUGAUCGCGCCCCGAAGUUGGCGUCAAUUU